UACGUAGGGUGCAAGCGUUAAUCGGAAUUACUGGGCGUAAAGCGUGCGCAGGCGGUUUUGUAAGACUGUCGUGAAAUCCCCGGGCUCAACCUGGGAAUGGCGAUGGUGACUGCAAGGCUAGAGUUUGGCAGAGGGGGGUAGAAUUCCACGUGUAGCAGUGAAAUGCGUAGAGAUGUGGAGGAAUACCGAUGGCGAAGGCAGCCCCCUGGGAUAACACUGACGCUCAUGCACGAAAGCGUGGGGAGCAAACAGG
rnacentral:rRNA from 1 species